rnacentral:tRNA from 1 species
CGCGGAGUGGAGCAGUUGGCAGCUCGUCGGGCUCAUAACCCGGAGGUCGUAGGUUCAAGUCCUGCCUCCGCAACCA